rnacentral:rRNA from 1 species
GAUGAACGCUGGCGGUAUGCUUAACACAUGCAAGUCGAACGGACUCUUCGGAGUUAGUGGCGGACGGGUGAGUAACGCGUGAGAAUCUGGCUUUGGGUUCGGGACAACCACUGGAAACGGUGGCUAAUACCGGAUGUGCCGAGAGGUAAAAGAGAAAUUGCCUGAAGAUGAGCUCGCGUCUGAUUAGCUAGUUGGUGAGGUAAAGGCUCACCAAGGCAGCGAUCAGUAGCUGGUCUGAGAGGAUGACCAGCCACACUGGGACUGAGACACGGCCCAGACUCCUACGGGAGGCAGCAGUGGGGAAUUUUCCGCAAUGGGCGAAAGCCUGACGGAGCAAUACCGCGUGAGGGAAGAAGGCUCCUGGGUUGUAAACCUCUUUUCUUAGGGAAGAACAAAAUGACGGUACCUAAGGAAUCAGCAUCGGCUAACUCCGUG